UCCCCUAAAGAGUGCGUAACAGCUCACUGGUCGAGCGAUCGCGCGCAGAUAAUGAUCGGGCAUCAAGUAUACCACCGAAGCUAUGCCUUGUACUUUGUACAGGGGUAGGGGAGCAUUCCAAUGGCGGCGAAGUUUUGUCGUAAGGCAUUGUGGAGCGAUUGGAAAAGAAAAUGUAGGCAUAAGUAACGAUAAUGAAGAUGAGAAAUCUUCACACCGCAAGACUAAGGUUUCCACAGCUAUGUUAAUCAACUGUGGGUUAGCCGGGACCUAACGCGUACCCGAAAGGGGAAGUGGAUGGAAAUUGGGUUAAUAUUCCCAAGCCAGUCAGGAAGUGACGGAGAGACGUGGCAGCUA
rnacentral:rRNA from 1 species